rnacentral:rRNA from 1 species
GGGGAAUCUUCCGCAAUGGACGAAAGUCUGACGGAGCAACGCCGCGUGAGUGAUGACGGCCUUCGGGUUGUAAAGCUCUGUUAAUCGGGACGAAAGGCCUUCUUGCGAAUAGUUAGAAGGAUUGACGGUACCGGAAUAGAAAGCCACGGCUAACUACGUGCCAGCAGCCGCGGUAAUACGUAGGUGGCAAGCGUUGUCCGGAAUUAUUGGGCGUAAAGCGCGCGCAGGCGGAUUGGUCAGUCUGUCUUAAAAGUUCGGGGCUUAACCCCGUGAUGGGAUGGAAACUGCCAAUCUAGAGUAUCGGAGAGGAAAGUGGAAUUCCUAGUGUAGCGGUGGAAUGCGUAGAUAUUAGGAAGAACACCAGUGGCGAAGGCGACUUUCUGGACGAAAACUGACGCUGAGGCGCGAAAGCCAGGGGAGCGAACGGGAUUAGAUACCCCGGUAGUCCUGGCCGUAAACGAUGGGUACUAGGUGUAGGAGGUAUCGACCCCUUCUGUGCCGGAGUUAACGCAAUAAGUACCCCGCCUGGGGAGUACGACCGCAAGGUUG